rnacentral:rRNA from 1 species
GACGAACGCUGGCGGCGUGCUUAACACAUGCAAGUCGAACGGACCCUUUGGGGUUAGUGGCGAACGGGUGAGUAACACGUGGGUGAUCUGCCCUGCACUUUGGGAUAAGCCUGGGAAACUGGGUCUAAUACCGGAUAGGACUACGCACUGCAUGGUGUGUGGUGGAAAGCUUUUGCGGUGUGGGAUGGGCCCGCGGCCUAUCAGCUUGUUGGUGGGGUGAUGGCCUACCAAGGCGACGACGGGUAGCCGGCCUGAGAGGGUGACCGGCCACACUGGGACUGAGAUACGGCCCAGACUCCUACGGGAGGCAGCAGUGGGGAAUAUUGCACAAUGGGCGCAAGCCUGAUGCAGCGACGCCGCGUGAGGGAUGACGGCCUUCGGGUUGUAAACCUCUUUCGCCAGGGACGAAGCGCAAGUGACGGUACCUGGAGAAGAAGGACCGGCCAACUACGUG